rnacentral:lncRNA from 1 species
CAAACAACAAGAGAGAGCGUUAAUGCCAGCUUGUUGCUUCCCGUGACUCCAUCUCCUAUCACCAAGCUUUGGAUCUUAUAUCAAAUAGCGUAUGGUCUAGUGCUUUGUUUGAAUGGAUUGAAGACUCGUCUUUUUUAUCAAGGUCGGGUUCGAGUUUUACCAUCGCAAUAAUCGUUGUGGUUUCUCUUAUGCCUUAAAUGGUAAGAAUACUCAGCAUGUUAGAUAAUGUUGAACCAAAACAAAAAAUUUAUAGUCUAGUGGUUUGUUUGAAUGGAUUGAAGACUCGCCUUGUUGAUCAAUUUCGUGUUCGAGUUUCACCAUCGCAAAAAUCGUUGUGGUUUCUUUUUUGGUUAAUAUAGAUGCUUCGGCUUUGUCUAGAUUUCGGUUAGACAAUUAUUGUUUUGUUAAUAAAUUUACCGCAAUCAUCAUAAAAAAAAUAUAACCGAGCACCAAAUCAAUCAAAGGAUAUUGUAUAUAUUGGAGUUGAAAUGUGAAAACAUAUUGUGGCAUAGUAGUAGAGAAUAUAUUCUCAUGGUUACAUUGGUUGCAGUGUGUAACAUGGGCAUAUCUAAUUUUUGGGAUGACAUUUAAUUUGUCUGCAAGAUCUGUAAUAAGUGUUGGUUUCGUGAGUCUGACAAAACUAGAACAGAAUCUCCACUAAUUGGACCAGAUCUGGAUCUUGCUCUUUGCUCUCUUCCCUUCCCGAGACGUGGCGUUGGACAAUUAUUGCAUUAAAUGAUAAGGAACCAAAAUCCAAAUGAGGAGCUGCAGUUUUUCAAAGUUACUC